rnacentral:rRNA from 1 species
CGCACGGGUGAGUAACACGUGAGUGACCUGCCUUUUAGACUGGAACAACUUACCGAAAGGUGAGCUAAUGCCGGAUGAGUUAUAUAAGUGCAUGUUUAUAUAGGAAAAGUUGGGGAGACCUGACGCUGAAAGACGGACUCGCGUCCCAUUAGCUAGUUGGUAGGGUAAUGGCCUACCAAGGCGACGAUGGGUAGCCGGCCUGAGAGGGUGGCCGGCCACACUGGGACUGAGACACGGCCCAGACUCCUACGGGAGGCAGCAG